rnacentral:rRNA from 1 species
GACGAACGCUGGCGGCGUGCUUAACACAUGCAAGUCGAACGGUAAGGCCCUUCGGGGUACACGAGUGGCGAACGGGUGAGUAACACGUGGGUGAUCUGCCCUGCACUUUGGGAUAAGCCUGGGAAACUGGGUCUAAUACCGAAUAUGACUACAGGCUGCAUGGUCUGUGGUGGAAAGCUUUUGCGGUGUGGGAUGGACCCGCGGCCUAUCAGCUUGUUGGUGGGGUGAUGGCCUACCAAGGCGACGACGGGUAGCCGGCCUGAGAGGGUGACCGGCCACACUGGGACUGAGAUACGGCCCAGACUCCUACGGGAGGCAGCAGUGGGGAAUAUUGCACAAUGGGCGCAAGCCUGAUGCAGCGACGCCGCGUGAGGGACGACGGCCUUCGGGUUGUAAACCUCUUUCAGCACAGACGAAGCGCAAGUGACGGUAUGUGCAGAAGAAGGACCAGCCAACUACGUG